rnacentral:rRNA from 1 species
CAGCGCCGCGGGAAUACGGAGGGAGCUAGCGUUGUUCGGAAUUACUGGGCGUAAAGCGCGCGUAGGCGGUUACUCAAGUCAGAGGUGAAAGCCCGGGGCUCAACCCCGGAACUGCCUUUGAAACUAGGUGACUAGAAUCUUGGAGAGGUCAGUGGAAUUCCGAGUGUAGAGGUGAAAUUCGUAGAUAUUCGGAAGAACACCAGUGGCGAAGGCGACUGACUGGACAAGUAUUGACGCUGAGGUGCGAAAGCGUGGGGAGCAAACAGGAUUAGAUACCCCCGUAGUCCCUGUCUCUUAUACA